rnacentral:lncRNA from 9 species
AUUUGGAAGAUGUGCAAGAAAUGUACCUUAAAAAUAGCAAAAGUAAAAUUGUUCAUUGGAGGUGAAAGGUUGAAGAAUCAAAAGAAACCACGGUGCUACCCAC